ACACUGAUCAAGAAAAUUUGAGAAAUAGUUCUUUCCACUCCUCUCUCCUUUCUUUCUGUUGUUUCUUUUUCAACAGAAUAGCCUAAAGCAUGUUUGUUUUUGUAGGAGAAGAUUUUGCAGAACAAUCGUAAAGCAGCAGAGGGCGAUCUGGAGCUUAUUAACCGAGAAAAGCAGCAGAAGCUGAAUGAAGUGAAUGUGGUGGUGCCACUCAGACUGCAUCAGAUUGAAUAUGUGAAUAAAGGUCUAUUACCGGGUAAGCUUGACUCAGCAUUGGUCCUGAACACAGCUGAUCUACAACGUCUGCAGAAGCGUAUUAAAGAGCUGCAGCAGGAGAAGAUUGAACAGCGAGAGCUCUAUAAACACGCAAAGCAGCAACACGUGCAGCUCACACAUGACCUUAAAGAUAUGGAGGCCAGAAUAAAGGAGUCGGAAGUACAUUGCGAGCAGCUGAUGCUUAAGAAGUUCGGAAAGCUGGUUGACCUAGAAGUUCUGCAGACUCUGUCAGGCAACAGGAGGGUAGAGGAGAUGAGACAGAAGAUCAGAGAACAGGAUGCCAAAUACACAAAGGAGCUCAAACACUGGGAGGUACACCCAGGGCCGUACUUAGCUGA